UACGUAGGUGGCAAGCGUUGUCCGGAUUUAUUGGGCGUAAAGAGAAUGUAGGCGGUUUAUUAAGUUUGAAGUGAAAGCCCUCGGCUCAACCGAGGAAGUGCUUCGAAAACUGGUAAACUUGAGUGCAGAAGAGGAAAGUGGAACUCCAUGUGUAGCGGUGGAAUGCGUAGAUAUAUGGAAGAACACCAGUGGCGAAGGCGGCUUUCUGGUCUGUAACUGACGCUGAGAUUCGAAAGCAUGGGUAGCAAACAGG
rnacentral:rRNA from 1 species